AACGCGAAGAACCUUACCCAGACUUGACAUCCUGAGAACUUCCCAGAGAUGGGAGGGUGCCCGCAAGGGAGCUCAGAGACAGGUGCUGCAUGGCUGUCGUCAGCUCGUGUCGUGAGAUGUUGGGUUAAGUCCCGCAACGAGCGCAACCCUCGCCUUUAGUUGCCAUCAUUCAGUUGGGCACUCUAGAGGGACUGCCGGUGUUAAACCGGAGGAAGGUGGGGAUGACGUCAAGUCCUCAUGGCCUUUAUGUCUGGGGCUACACACGUGCUACAAUGGUCGGUACAGAGGGUUGCCAAGCCGCAAGGCGGAGCUAAUCCCAAAAGCCGGUCUCAGUUCGGAUUGCAGUCUGCAACUCGACUGCAUGAAGUCGGAGUCGCUAGUAAUCCCGGAUCAGCAACGCCGGGGUGAAUACGUUCCCGGGCCUUGUACACACCGAGACGUA
rnacentral:rRNA from 1 species